UGCCAGCAGCCGCGGUAACACGGGGGGCGCAAGCGUUAUUCGGAUUCAUUGGGCGUAAAGCGCGCGUAGGCGGUUUGGCAAGUCGGACGUGAAAUCUCCACUGCUCAACAGGGAGAGGCCGUUCGAAACUGCUGAACUUGAGGACCGGAGAGGUAGGCGGAAUUCCAGGUGUAGCGGUGGAAUGCGUAGAUAUCUGGAAGAACACCAGUGGCGAAGGCGGCCUACUGGACGGUUCCUGACGCUGAGGCGCGAAGGCGUGGGUAGCGAACGGGAUUAGAUA
rnacentral:rRNA from 1 species